UUUCCGUAGGUGAACCUGCGGAAGGAUCAUUAAAAAAUUGGGUGACUGUAAUUUAGGUUAACCCAUUAAUAAUAUCCUACCCUUUGUGAAUUGUUUGUUAUGUAAAUUUUUGUCUAUCCCUAAAGAAAGGUUGGAUAAGUGUAAUAGCUUAAAAAACUUUUUUUUAGGAAUGGCUUAAAGACUUUUAUUUAAAAUUAAACUUUUUGUAUUCAUUUGUCUAAAAUAAAUUUUUAAAUAAAUAAUUUAAAAACACUUUUGACAAUGGAUCCUUGGUUCUCGCACGAUGAAGAACGCAGCAAAAUGCGAUAAGUAAUUGAUUGCAGAAUACGUGAAUCAUCAAAUCUUUCGAACGCAUAUGCACUUUUUUAGUUUACUAAAAAAGUAUGUCUGUUUGAGUAUCAGUAAAAUAUUCUCAUAAAAUCAUUGAUUUUAUGGUUAUGAGUGUUUUACAACGAUAAACAAGUUGUUUCACUUUAAAUGGAUUUUAAUUGAAAUCGUCGGUUGGGAACGAUUUUAAAUUUUUUUAAAAAAUUGGAUAAAAUUUUCCCGUAAAAAGGAAUAAAGCUAUUUCAGUUUUUUAGAAAUUUUAAUAGUUUCCAUACCGUACAGUUAAGGAAAUUUAUUUAUAAUAACUUGAUCUCAAAUCAGAUAAGAGUACCCGCUGAACUUAAGCAUAUCAAUAAGCGGAGGAAAAGAAACUAACAAGGAUUCCUUAGUAACGGCGAGUGAAGCGGAAGAGCUCAAAUUUGAAAUCUUCAAGUUCUACCUUGACGAAUUGUAGUUUAAAGAAGUGUUUUCUGUUAGAGGAUGGCAAAAGUUCUUUGGAAUAGGACAUCAUAGAGGUGAGAAUCCCGUAUUUGGUCAUUCUUCUAGCUGUGUGAUACACUUUCAAAGAGUCGGAUUGUUUGGAAUGCAGUCCAAAAUGGUGUAAAUUUCAUCUAAAGCUAAAUAUUGGCGAGAGACCGAUAGCGAACAAGUACCGUGAGGGAAAGAUGAAAAGAACUUUGAAAAGAGAGUUAAACAGUACGUGAAUUGUCAAAGGAAGCGUUUGACACCAGUGUUGUUUUUCCGAAAAUCAAUUGUGCCUGGCUGAUUUUGUAGGAGUUUGACCUUAUCAGCUUCUUCUGCUUUUUUCCGUCUGGUGCAAUGCACUUUUCGGUUAACAAGUCAACAUCAAUUUCUUUUGUUGUAAAAGGGUAAUUGGAAGGUGGCUUUCUUUUCGGAGAAAGUUUUAUAGCUUUUACCUCUACAAUCGAGAGAUUGAGUCUGCAGCGUAGAUCCUCGGGGUUAGAUACAUUGUGCUAAGUUAUAGCCCUGUAUAGACAACUUGUUGACUAUACUCGGUCAUGUAGCUUACUCGCUUAUGCUAUUUUACCUACGCUUAGGAUGUUG
rnacentral:misc_RNA from 1 species